GUUUAAAGUAGUUUCAGAGGAGAAGAUUUUUUAAAUAGUUUACGAAGACAGAUUCCAAGUGAUGGCAUAAGCUCACAUGGGGCCCUUGAAGGAUCCCUGUGAGCUAAUUAUUACAAAAUAUAUACCCAUUUAGCCUAAGUUUGGUUAAAAUGAAUUAAUUCAGUAGUUUCAGAAGAGAAGAUCUAUGAAAAAGUGUACACCAGACAAUGGAUGAUUCAACAAUUAAUGCCAAGG
rnacentral:lncRNA from 1 species